UGCAAAGCCCGACGCAUCCCAACAAGGUUUUUAAUGUGUCAGAGUACAGUAGUACAUGCUGGGCUGCAGACAAGUUUUAUGGAAAAGGCUCAAGAAGGGAGCUGUGACAGUGCGCGUAGGCAGCAAGGAAACAGGAAUAAACCCUUACUUGUUCCUUUGCAACCUACGCAUGCUGACGCAGUCUGACAUGAACACUCAUGGAUUUAGACCAGAGCUGGUCAGACCAGAGGCCUUUCAAGUGAACUUUCAAACAUUCCUCCCAAGCGAAGCAGAUGAAUCAGGACCAGCGCAGGAGACUGAAAUGUGCAAACAAUUAAAGCAAUAAGGGAACAAAUCAAAGUGGGACCCCCUUGC